CAAUAGCGUAUAUUUAAGUUGUUGCAGUUAAAAAGCUCGUAGUUGGAUUUCGGGUGGGACGCAGCGGUCUCGCAUUGCGUUUGUACUGCUGCAGCCCUCCUUCUUGCCGGGGGCGGCCUCUCGGACUUCACUGUCUGGGGGUCAGAAUCGGCGAUGUUACUUUGAGUAAAUUUGAGUGUUCAAAGCAAGCUUACGCUCUGAAUAUAAUAGCAUGGGAUAACACGACAGGACUCUGGCCUAUCGUGUUGGUCUAUAGGACCAGAGUAAUGAUUAAGAGGGACAGUCGGGGGCAUUCGUAUUCCGUUGUCAGAGGUGAAAUUCUUGGAUUUACGGAAGACGAACAUCUGCGAAAGCAUUUGCCAAGGAUGUUUUCAUUG
rnacentral:rRNA from 1 species